CACACACACACACACACACGGAGGACAUGGACACACACCUAAGUACACUUGAAUAUGUGUACACACAAACAUAGACGCAUAGAGGGGGGUGGAGAAGGUAGAUCACCAAGGAGCAGUGGGUCAAUAGGUAGACAACCCACAGGUCGUUCAACUCAUAUUUACAAGUCUACCAGGCACACAAAUUGCAAACUAAGAUUGGCCCACACAUUAGAAUUCCAUGAGACACAUGUGGCUCGACUGAGGGUUUUGCUGGAAAGAUUCUGAGGCUGUAUCUGGGCAACGUGGGCCAAGAGCCAUGAGCAUGUCACAGUGCACCACACAAACAUCUCCAGGGACUCAAACCACAAAUUUGUCAAUCUUGUGUGUAGCUUUUAAAGGACCAUUCCCUAAGUGUGUUUUAACAGAUUUUUGUGCUCUGGUAUAAAAAUAUACAAACAACACAACCACAGAAAGGAGCUAUUGCCAUGCCUUUACUCUUUCCCAUAUUUCUAAAGACAUCUGGCUGUGCAAUGUACAAAUCUUGUGAUUUUGAAUCAUCGAUUCUCCAAGGCGAGACACUUGCAUCUAUUUAUACAUGCUUGAUAUUGGUUGUGUAACCAGGAUUUCUGGGUCUGGGCCAAACCUCAACUCAGUGAGUUGGAGUUGAUGUGGAUGAAUGAUAGAAAGUUGGGUGUGAGGCCCUUCUAGUCCUGUUCUGUCCCAGAGAACAGCUGCAUCACCAUGAGUGUUACACCAGCCCUCAACACCCUGAUGUCUCCCCAAAAGCAAGGAUCAUGAGUCUGUCAAUGACACUGAUCUCAUACUGGUACAAGACAGUAUGAAUCUGGGUUUGGAGCAGCAGUGGACCCAGGAAAAGCCAGAGUUGUCUUCAGGAAAUCAUCCUUGCCUGUUCUGUGAAUAGGGUCCUGGCAAAUAGUAAUGCUUGCAUGAGGAGGACAUUGCCCAGGAAACCCAGCUCCAAAUAUUAAGGACAGACAUCUGGAAGUCUGCAGGGUCCAACCACUCUGCAGAUGCCAAACAAGGAAACAUGACACUCUGAAAAGUCAGCAUGUCUCCUGGGCCUCUGAGAGACAGCCUAGGAACCAGGAUCUGACCUGCACCUAUAGCACCACCUGCAAGAGUCCAGGACAGCCAGCCAAGGUCAUCUGACCUCCCAGGGAUCUUGUGAGGAUAUCAGAAGGGCCCUUAGAAGCAUUCAGUAAAACUUUGCUCUUGAGAGAAAAGCCAUUUCACUAGGAUCCCAGAGUCAACUGUGUCUGAAAGGUGGCAAGAAGCCCACUUCCCAGGUGCCCUAGAGAGAAAAUCUGCAUAGGGUGACAAAAGGCAAACCCCAGAUGAGAACCCUUAGUUCCUCCAAGAAGAGUUGGGCAAGACUUCUAGGACAUGAAACUGUCCCUUCCUAGGCCAGGGAGGAGACAAUAAAGCUGUGGGUAUAUCUUGAGAUCUAUCUAAUCCAGGGUAAUGAAGUCAGUGUGGCAGUAGGAAGUGACGUGAAUACAGCUCAGCUGGUAGUGUUCCCAGCACACACAAAGCCCUGGGUUGGAUUUCCCAGCAGUGCUAUAAACUGGUUGUGGUGGAGCAUGCAUGGAAGCUCAGCACACACUCUAGGUAAUAAGGUCAGAUUCAAGAUCACCCUCAGCUACACAGUGAGUUCAAGGACAGUUUAAGGUACCUGAGACCUGCUUCAAAAAAGAAAGUCAUGGUUUGGUAGGAUGUGGUGGGAAGAGAAGAGACACUUCCUGAGAUCCAAAGGAUGAUGUUGAAACCAGAAGAUUAAUCUGGCACGAGGUGAGAGCUUUGUGUGUCCAGCCAUGAUGAACUGUGCAGUCACAGGCCCAAGGCAACUGAGGUAACUAUAAACUAAAACCACAAGCCAAAAUAAACCAAUCUUCCCUCCUUGUAAGCUAUUGUUCUCAGUUAUUUUGUUACGGUGAUAAGAAGCUGACAAAUGCAAUCAGAUACAUCAAAGGCUGCAUUGUUCACUGAGGUCUGUGCCACCAAACUGUAAAGAAAACAUUACUUUUUUUUGAAAGUGUAGAAAUGGACAAUUAGUUUUUAAAAAAGGAGUGAAUGGGCUGAGGAGAUGGCUCAUUGGAUAUAAGUGCUUGUCAUGCAAGCCUGACCACCAGAGUUCAUGUCCCCAGAAUCCAUGCAAAAGCCAGAUGCAGCAGUGUGAGCAAGUGUGAUCCCAGGAAAUGGAACCCUGAGAAGGGAGAAUCCAUAGGAGCUAGCUAGCCUGUGACACACAGCAGUGAACACCAGAGCUGGUUUCAAAUGAGGUGGGAGGGAAAAGACUGACACUUGAAGGUGUCCACUAACCUCCACAUGUGAGCUGUGGUAUACUCACACCUGUACCGGCACACAAUAACAUGAGUGCGUGUGUGUGUGCAUGCACACACACACACACACUCAUACAGUCACAUUCAUCUCUCUUUCAUACACACAUACACUCUUCUCUCUCACACACACAGAGUCACA
rnacentral:lncRNA from 1 species